GUGCCUUUGUUCCCCGGGGUCCCUGUACUAUCAAUUAGGUGUUCCUGCAAUAAAGGCUGAUUGAGAAGGAUCCAACGGUGUUGCGUCUUCCUUGUCGGUCGAGGUGGGCGCAACAACUGGUGGCCCGUACGGGGACCCGAGAAAAUCUUUUCUCGUCUGGAUCCAGAACUUUUUCAGCCUCAGGACGGUCGACGUCGGUAAGUUCCCAGUAGGGGCAGUUAGUUGCCGGAAUUGGGACAAUAGAGUUCCUAUAAGUGGAACGGUAAAGUUCCUGAAGUUGGGACGACGGGAUAAGGGAUUGUAAAACUUCCCUAGUAGGACAAUAAAGUUCUCUGGAAAAGCAGAGACAAUGAUAGCCUUGGUUUAGAGGCAAAAAGGGGUUUGUGGAGCACGGUAAUGUCUUUUCCAUUUGAUCCUUUGUGGGUUGGACUAGCACUUUUGCCUUAUACUCUUUUUGUGUUGUGGUGUUGCUUCUGUCUGAAUUGCCACCGCCCAGGGCACGAAUGCAUUUGUUGGGAAGAGUCCAUGAUGAGCCACAAGAUCGUGUGUAAAUAAACACGCCAGCUCACCAGCUCCUCUUGCUUGUAAAUCAAUCGUAAAUAAGGUCGUAAAAGCAUGGGAAACUUACACUGCACCCCGCUCCUGUCAGCUCUUCAGGAGCUUCUUGGUUAGCGUAAGCUUAAAAUUGAAAAGAAAAUCCUGCUGAGUUUUCUUGAUGAGUGUAACCGUUGUGCCCCGUGGUUUAGAGUGUCAGGGUCACUCACUUUGAGAGCAUGGGAGAAGCUGGGAAAAGAUCUGGAUAAGGAGACUACAGUGGGCAAGCUUAAACCAGGGACAAGGCCGCUUUGGCGUAUGAUCCGUGCCUGCUUGGAAGAUAAACGAUGUGAAGAAGCUGUUAGGACAGGUCAGAGAAUCCUUACAGAACAACAGGAGAGUAUGUCAGAAGGAGAGAAAGUUUUGAAGGAAGGAAAGAAAAGAAAAGGAGGAAAAGAGGUAAAAGAAAAGGCAGAAAAGAUCAAGGAGAGGAUAGACAAAGGCGAGAAUAGUAAUCAGAAUCUAGGAACAAAAAAAAAUUUAUCCCUCAUUAAAGGCAUUGACCUUGGAGAUGUCUAGUGAUUCAGAGUUUAGUGAUAGUGACUUAGCUGACCUUGAGGAGAAGGUAGCUCAUUAUGAGAAAGAGAUUUAUCAUUCUGACUGGCCAAACACUUACGCUGUGCAGAAACAAGCCAAGGAC
ensembl:lncRNA